AUUGAACGCUGGCGGCAGGCCUAACACAUGCAAGUCGAGCGGUAGCAGGAAGCUGCUUCCUUGUUUCCUCGCCAGUCGCGUACGGGAGGCCAAUGUCUCUGACUGUUCGUGAUGGAUGGCGUCCACUACCGGAAGCGAAUACCAAAUCCGUAUAAAGUCUGAAAGUGAAGGAUCUUCAGACUCGGCGCUCUCAGCUGCGGCUAUGUCGGGUUAGCUAGUUGGUGGGGGAAAGGCCUACCGAGGCGACGACCCGUAUCUGUUCUGAGUGGAUGAGCAGCCACACUGGAACUGAGACACGGUCCAGACUCCUACGGGAGGCAGCAGUGGGGAAUAUUGGACAAUGGGCGAAAGCCUGAUGCAGCCAUGCCGCGUGUGUGAAGAAGGUCUUCGGAUUGUAAAGUACUUUAAGCGGGGAGGAAGGGAGGUAAGUUAAUACCUUGCCUCAUUGACGUUACCAGCAGAAGAAGCACCGGCUAACUUCGUG
rnacentral:rRNA from 1 species